UACAGAGGUGGCAAGCGUUGUUCGGAAUUACUGGGCGUAAAGGGCGCGUAGGCGGUUCGUUAAGUCCUGUGUGAAAUCCCCCGGCUCAACUGGGGAACUGCACAGGAAACUAGCGGGCUUGAGUUCGGGAGAGGGAAGCGGAAUUCCGGGUGUAGCGGUGAAAUGCGCAGAGAUCGGGAGGAACACCCGUAGCGAAGGCGGCACUCUGGGCCGGAACUGACGCUGAGGAGCGAAAGCGUGGGUAGCAAACAGG
rnacentral:rRNA from 1 species